CGCUAUGCGACCCAAGGCUGGAGACUUUCUUCAGCAAAUAUGGCUGACAAAAAUACUAGGAUGGAAGCAAAUGGACUCCUGAAACAACCAGCAAACCAGGCUGACAUCUUGUGAAACAGUGGAUGUAAAGAGUCUAGUUAGCUAAAGCUUUUACUGCAAAUUGAAUGUACAAUUUUGUAGGCUUGCCUUGCUGAUAUUUGCCAUGCAAUGCAGCUGAAGUAACGUAGCUAGCCAACUAUUUUCUUGCUUAUUGCACAGUGGAGGAUAAAAAAUACCUAUAUGUCUAUGGACGUGUAGCUAGCCAUGUAGCCGAUCUGUGUAUGGACCCUAAAACGCUUGGUAUACAUAUUAGUUCAGAACCUAGCUACAGAACCUCAGUUAUCAUAGCCAGUUGUAUCAACUUCAACGAAGCCUAUGGAUUGAGUAGAAUAUAAUGUAAUUUUGUACCAAGGAUGCAAGUCGUAUAUACAUGUGGUUCCCAAUCAAUCAAAUGUAUUUAUAUAGCCCCUUCUUACAUCAGCUGAUAUCUCAAAGUGCUGUACAGAAACCCAGCCUAAAACCCCAAACAGCAAGCAAUGCAGGUGUAGAAGCACGAUGGCUAGGAAAAACUCCCUAUAAAGGCCAAAACCUAGGAAGAAACCUAGAGAGGAACCAGGCUAUGAGGGGUGGCCAGUCCUCUUCUGGCUGUGCUGGGUGGAGAUAACAGAACAUGGUCAAGAUGUUCAAAUGUUCAUAAAUGACCAGCAUGGUCAAAUAAUAAUAAUACCAUGCAUGAGAUCCCAACAUUGUAACCUGUACAUUUACUAUAUUCACUAAUCAUGUACUCUACCUUGGCAAAUAAAGGUGCAGUUCAGGUAUGAAUGUCUGUGAGAUUCUUUUUCAGUCAUAUCCAAUACCAGGGUUAUACAAUUCCAUUCUUAGAAUGAUGCUCUGUCUGCAUGUAUAUAUAAAAAUGAUACACUUCAACAGUGUUUACCAAUCCUGGUCCUGGGACAUCAAUGGUUGUCCCAGGACUAGAAUAGACUAGAAACAUGAUUUAACUAGUUAGGCUGAUUUGUAAUACAUAUAUACAGUACCAGUCAAAUGUUUGGACACACCUACUCAUUCAAGGGUUUUUCUACAUUGUAGAAUAAUAGUGAAGACAUCAAAACUAUGAAAUAACACAUAUGGAAUCAUGUGUUAAACAAAUUUUUAAAAAGUGUUAAACAAAUCAAAAUAUAUUUUAUAUUUGACAUUCUUCAAAGUAGCCACCCUUUGCCUUGACAGCUUUGCAUUCUCUCA
ensembl:lncRNA